UACGUAGGGUGCGAGCGUUAAUCGGAAUUACUGGGCGUAAAGCGUGCGCAGGCGGUUUGUUAAGAUAGAUGUGAAAUCCCCGGGCUUAACCUGGGAACUGCAUUUGUGACUGGCAAGCUAGAGUAUGGCAGAGGGGGGUAGAAUUCCACGUGUAGCAGUGAAAUGCGUAGAGAUGUGGAGGAAUACCGAUGGCGAAGGCAGCCCCCUGGGCCAAUACUGACGCUCAUGCACGAAAGCGUGGGGAGCAAACAGG
rnacentral:rRNA from 1 species